rfam:Cavia porcellus supercont2_24 genomic scaffold, whole genome shotgun sequence.
GGGGAUUUAGCUCAGUGGCAUAAGCACCUGCCUUGCAAGCAGGUAGUGGUGAGUUCAAUCCCUG